UACGAAGGGUGCAAGCGUUACUCGGAAUUACUGGGCGUAAAGCGUGCGUAGGUGGUUUGUUAAGUCUGUUGUGAAAGCCCCGGGCUCAACCUGGGAAUGGCAAUGGAUACUGGCAAGCUAGAGUGCGGUAGAGGGUAGUGGAAUUCCCGGUAUAGCGGUGAAAUGCGUAGAGAUCGGGAGGAACACCAGUGGCGAAGGCGGCUACCUGGACCAGCACUGACACUGAGGCACGAAAGCGUGGGGAGCAAACAG
rnacentral:rRNA from 1 species